UACGUAGGGACCGAGCGUUGUCCGGAUUCAUUGGGCGUAAAGAGCUCGUAGGCGGCUGUUCAAGUCGAACGUGAAACUCGGAGCUCAACUCCGAGCCUGCGUUCGAGACUGGAUGGCUAGAGUCUGGUAGGGGGAUCUGGAAUUCCUGGUGUAGCGGUGGAAUGCGCAGAUAUCGGGAGGAACACCAAUUGCGAAGGCAGCUUGCUGGGACGGUAUGACGCUGA
rnacentral:rRNA from 1 species